UACAGAGGUCUCAAGCGUUGUUCGGAUUCACUGGGCGUAAAGGGCGCGUAGGCUGCGGGGCAAGUCGGGUGUGAAAUCUCAGAGCUCAACUCUGAAACUGCACUCGAUACUGCUUUGCUCGAGGACUGGAGAGGAGAUUGGAAUUCACGGUGUAGCAGUGAAAUGCGUAGAUAUCGUGAGGAAGACCAGUGGCGAAGGCGGAUCUCUGGACAGUUCCUGACGCUGAGGCGCGAAGGCCAGGGGAGCAAACGGG
rnacentral:rRNA from 1 species